AAGCUUAUAGUUCAAAGGUAGAACGUACCGCUCAUAACGGUUUUGUUGUAAGUUCAAGUCUUACUAAGCUUA
rnacentral:tRNA from 1 species